CAAAGGUGUCUCAUUUGAAGAUCUCUGCCUAUCUGAGGUCUUCCAAAGGUUGCUGUUGUAUGUUUUCCUGAAUCUGGUCCUGAUGUCAGACCUCAAGCCCCAGUGGAAGCAAGUAUUAACUUCUUGAAAAGGCAAUAAGUACUACAGGAUUGAUGGUGAGUUAAAAUGCAGCAAAAUAUAUACACAUUAUAUGAGUUAAAAGCAUAGAAGCACUGGAUGAAAACUUCUGCUGCAGCAGAAAUCUACAGUACACACACCUUGGCGUUGAGGCACAAUGCAGAGUAAAUGUAAGUCUCUCAGUCCACGAUGCAAAAAGAGUUGUUUGGUCUUCUUGUCCACCGCACAAGGCUUCUCUACUGGUUGCUUCUCUACUGGUCUAUGGGAAGAUAUUGUUUUUUCUAAGCCUUGGAAGAAGUGACAAUUUUCAAUCCCUGUUUGACUGAAAUUUAGUCAUAAAUGCUACUUAUUUGUAUAAGAAAAAAACCAUAAAUCCUCCUCAUCCAUUUUGUGUCUGACUUCUAGCUUCUAGAUUUUUGAGCUGUAUAGUUGAGGAGUUUUCUGCUGUUAUUGUCACCUUUCACUGAAACUAUAGCCAAGAAAAUUAAAUGUACUGUGUCAGGAAAGCGUGGGAUAGCAACCUCUAAGACUUUCCUCCUACUCAAACUCUUGCUAUGUCAUAGAGAGAGAUAAAUGUAGAGUUCAUUCAUAUUAGAUUUGGACAAGAAAGAGAUUAUUUCUCAUUUGAGUAGAUAGAGUCUUUUUUUUAAUUAUGUUUCAACCAAACCCACUUGUUUAUUUUGGUGCACAUUUACCAUCAUGUCACUAAUGACUCUCUUCUUUUCACACAUGUGCCACAGAAUCUCCCCUCUAUGCCCACCA